rnacentral:rRNA from 1 species
CAAUAGCGUAUAUUAAAGUUGUUGCGGUAAAAAAGCUCGUAGUUGGAUUUCUACCGAAGAUAGCCGGUCGGGUCUUCGACCUUGUAUCGGGUUUUGUCUUUGGUAUCCUCAUAGGGAACGUUUCUGCGCUUUAUUGCGUGGUGCGGUAUCUAUGACUUUUACUUUGAGGAAAUUAGAGUGUUCACGGCAGGCAAACGCCUUGAAUAUAUUAGCAUGGAAUAAUAACAUAGGAUCUUCGUCCUAUUUUGUUGGUUUCUAGGGCUAAGAUAAUGAUUAAUAGGGAUAAUUGGGGGCAUCUGUAUCAACGCGUCAGAGGUGGAAUUCUUGGAUUGCGUUGCGACAAACUACUGCGAAAGCAUUUGCCAAGGAUGUUUUCAUUGA